GCCAUAGUUCAGUGGUAGAACAUCUGCUUUGUAUGUAGAAGGUCCCAGGUUCAAUAUCUGGGUUUAACUG